rnacentral:ncRNA from 2 species
UUCUUAUCAAGAGCAGGCGGAGGGACCAGCCCGAUGAAGCCCGGCAACCGACUUAUUUAAGCACGGUGCUAAUUCUUGCAGUUGUACAGCUGACAGAUAAGAA